ensembl:antisense
GCUUCAGGUGCCCUGCCCAAGACCAGUCCCAAAAAGAAGCAAGCUCAAGAGAAGACCUCCUCCUCAGAUGUCUCAAGAGGAUACCAGGGGAAAAACUUGCCAACAUGGGGACAGAGACUCAAAUCAGCAUUUGAGGGGCCAACGACUCUACCCCCAAUCUCAGGGGUUGCUCUGCUAGGGAAGGCAAGUAAAUGCUCACUGCCUUCAGGGCCCAAAGAGUUCAAGUCCAUCUGCACUGGGAAGNNNNNNNNNNNAAAUCCAUAGCAAAGAAGACAAGGGAGCCACAGGCAGGGCCCAAAGAAGAUAACUCACCGAGAGAUCCUGGUCUGCAGGCCCAAGUUCCACCACACAGGGCAGAGCAGCCUUCCGUGUGCAUGUAUCGUGGAGAAAUGAGCAGGGGAGACUUCAACAUCAGAGCCCCUCAAGUUCCAGCAAACCCGCAGUUCUUCUCCUUGAGCCAGAGAUGUGCCAGACCCAGAGCACCACCUGCACCUGUGAGAUGUUACAGAAGGAAAUAGAUGAACUCAAGGAACAACUCGGGCUGGCACUGCUGUGACCCAGCGUUUGAGGACUGCCUAUCCAUGCUGUUCUCCUGUAGAAAACCAAUCAUGCAAGUCUUCAAAGAAAAGUUCCAGGAUCCUUGAAGUUGGACUCAAGAGUUUCUCCCCACAGAAGAGGCCAAACUACCACCUGUGGAUCCUGCUUCCUUCCAGUUUUCUUCGACAGCAGUGGUUCCCACCUUCCUAAUGCUAUGGCCUGCUCAUGGGCUUCAUUUUGUGAUGUUAACCCUCUACCAUAAAGCUAUUUCAUUGUUACUUCACAGCUGUACUUUUGCAACUGUUGUUUAUCAUCGUGUACUGUCUGAUGUGUGAGCCUGUGGGAGUUGCUACCCACAGAUUGAGAGCGUCUGCUCUACAGUCAGUCAGAGCUGAGCUGUGCCCCUGUUUUUACCCCAAGCCUGCCCCUGGUGACAGCUGUUUCACAUUGAGUACUUUGGCUGUCCUGGAACUCACUCUGUAGACCAGGCUGGCCUCGACCUCAGAUAUCUGCCUACCUCUGCCUCUGCCUCUGCCUCUGCCUCUGCCUCCCGAGUGCUGGGAUUAAAGGCGUGCGCCA